rnacentral:tRNA from 1 species
GAGGGUAUAGGUCAGUGGUAGAGCUUAUGCUUAGCAUGCACGAGGUUCUGGGUUCAAUCCCCAGUAUCCUCA